GACGAACGCUGGCGGCGUGCCUAAUACAUGCAAGUCGAACGCAGUGGGGACGGGUGAGUAACCCGUGGGUAACCUCCCAUCAGAGGGGAUAACACUUGGAAACAGGUGCUAAACCGAUACUGAUGGAUGGACCCGGGGUGCAUUAGCUAGUUGGUGAGGUAACGGCUCACCAAGGCCACUAUGCAUCGCUGACCUGAGAGGAGGAUCGGCCACACUGGAACUGAGACACGGCCCAGACUCCUACGGGAGGCAGCAGUGGGGAAUCUUCGGCAAUGGACGAAAGUCUGACCGAGCAACGCCGCGUGAGUGAAGAAGGUUUUCGGAUCGUAAAACUCUGUUGUUAGAGAAGCGUUAUCUAACCAGAAAGCCACGGCUAACUACGUGCCAGCCGCCGCGGUAAUUC
rnacentral:rRNA from 1 species